rnacentral:rRNA from 1 species
CCUACGGGUGGCAGCAGUGAGGAAUAUUGGUCAAUGGCCGGAAGGCUGAACCAGCCAUGCCGCGUGAAGGUCAGUGCCCUAUGGGCGUUAAACUUCUUUUGUGCGGGAGCAAUAAUGGUCACGUGUGGCCAGACGAGAGUACCGUACGAAUAAGCAUCGGCUAACUCCGUGCCAGCAGCCGCGGUAAUACGGGGGAUGCAAGCGUUAUCCGGAUUUAUUGGGUUUAAAGGGUGCGUAGGCUGUGAGGUAAGUCAGCGGUGAAAUGCCCCGGCUCAACGGGGUGAAGUGCCAUUGAUACUGGCUGGCUGGAAUGCGGAUGCGGUGGGAGGAAUGUGUGGUGUAGCGGUGAAAUGCAUAGAUAUCACACAGAAUACCGAUUGCGAAGGCAUCUCACGAAUCCGCGAUUGACGCUGAUGCACGAAAGCGUGGGUAUCAAACAGGAUUAGAUACCCGAGUAGUC